rnacentral:rRNA from 1 species
CACGUAGGGCGCGAGCGUUGUCCGGAAUUAUUGGGCGUAAAGAGCUCGUAGGCGGCCUGUUGCGUCCGCUGUGAAAGCCCGGGGCUUAACCCCGGGUCGGCAGUGGAUACGGGCAGGCUAGAGGUAGGUAGGGGAGAAUGGAAUUCCUGGUGUAGCGGUGAAAUGCGCAGAUAUCAGGAGGAACACCGGUGGCGAAGGCGGUUCUCUGGGCAUGAUCUGACGCUGAGGAGCGAAAGUGUGGGGAGCGAACAGG